rnacentral:rRNA from 1 species
UACGGGGGGAGCAAGCGUUGUUCGGAUUUACUGGGCGUAAAGGGCGCGUAGGCGGCAAUUCAAGUCAGUUGUGAAAUCUCCGAGCUUAACUCGGAACGGUCAACUGAUACUGUUUUGCUAGAGUACAGAAGGGGCAAUCGGAAUUCUUGGUGUAGCAGUGAAAUGCGUAGAUAUCAAGAGGAACACCUGAGGUGAAGACGGGUUGCUGGGCUGAUACUGACGCUGAGGCGCGAAAGCUAGGGUAGCAAACGGG